rnacentral:rRNA from 1 species
AGCGACAGGUGCUGCAUGGCCGUCGUCAGCUCGUGCCGUGAGGUGUUGGGUUAAGUCCCGCAACGAGCGCAACCCCCGCCGUUAGUGCCAGCGGUUCGGCCGGGCACGUCUAACGGGACUGCCGCGAAAGCGGGAGGAAGGAGGGGACGACGUCUGGUCAGCAUGGCCCUUACGGCCUGGGCGACACACGUGCUACAAUGGUUGGUACAACGAGUUGCGAGUCGGUGACGGCGAGCUAAUCUCUUAAAGCCAAUCUCAGUUCGGAUUGUAGGCUGCAACUCGCCUACAUGAAGUCGGAAUCGCUAGUAAUCGCGGAUCAGCACGCCGCGGUGAAUACGUUCCCGGGCCUU